rnacentral:lncRNA from 1 species
UCUCAGCCUCCCAAAACAGCACCACUAGCCAGGGACCACAUCUUCAAAUACACACAAGCCUGUAGGAACAUUUUUUAUCUGACCACAACACAUGACAAAAAGCCCCGUGAUAAAGAGAGGUGGCUUGGAAGGAACCAGGCCCAGAAAGCCCCAGGCACUGCUGUUAUUCACUCAGAAAGCAAGGAAAUUACAAACUCAUGCCAGGGGACAGUGGUGGGCCAGGAACAAUUUUGCAGACUAACACUAAUGGAGGUUACCUAGCCCAUGUUCUUGCUUCGUUCAGGGAAAAUGUGAGCCUAGAAGCUGAUGGGAGAUGGGAUGGGGUGGGGUUGCAGGGCCUUAGGAGCCAUCUAACUGAGCAGGAUGUGAGGAACAUCUCAGGAUCAACUUAGGGGUGUCACCAACUCUGAGGCUCACCCACUCUUGCCGUUUUCCAGAUGGUUCUUCAGGACCAUUAGCCGGAAGGAUGCUGAGAGGCAGUUGCUGGCUCCAAUGAACAAAGCCGGCUCCUUUCUCAUCAGAGAGAGUGAGAGCAAUAAAGGUGCCUUUUCCCUAUCUGUGAAAGACGUCACCAGCCAGGGGGAGAUGGUCAAGCACUAUAAGAUCCGCUCACUGGACAAUGGAGGCUAUUACAUCUCGCCCCGGAUCACCUUCCCCACCCUCCAGGCCCUGGUGCAGCACUAUUCUG